rnacentral:lncRNA from 1 species
GGCCUUUCUAGGAGCCAGCUUGCUUUCAUCUUACUGUUUUGAUUGUGCCUCACAAGGGACAACACUCCGAUUGUCUAGGAGGAGGAAGGUCAGGGACAGAAAAGUAAAAGCCAGGAGCAGCCUGUCCUGUCUGCCUGGGCUGCUGGGGAAUGAUUGUCAGUGAAUCGAGUUGUCUGUGGAGCCCCUGAGCAAAUUCUCCCAGUGGCAGAUCUCGCAAAAGGGGAGGAAGGCCUUCACCGCUGAACCCGAGCUUUGCCAUUUCGAAGUGCUGAGUCACCUCGUCCUCUCAGGGUCAGACACUUUCACGCAGGAAACGUCCUGCAGAGCACCGCAGCGGGAGCACCGAGCUGACCUGGAAGGAGAGAACAAGGGCCUUCCUGAGGCAGGACAAGGACCCAGAACUACCCAGAAUGCAGCAGGGCGGCCCCGCACGACUGAGCUCUGAUCCUAACCUGCAAAGUGAAGUUUCAAUUUCCACUUCCUGAGAAGAUGUGGAAACUCAGAGAGGAUGCCACUGUUUUGAACUAUUUUGAAGGCACAGCCACCAGAGCUUUAGGGACAGGGUAUUUUAUCACAGCAACAGAAAUGAAACCAAAACAACUCCACAAUAAAAUUCUUGAGUUUCUUGGGGCCAAGAAGAUGACACGAUAAGAUAAAGACACUGGCCAAGCAUGACCUCCAGAGUUUGGCCCUUGCAUAAAGGAGAAAAUUAAUUCCUUCAGUUGUUCUCUGACCUCCACAUGCGUCCUGUAACAUGGGUGUAUGCAUACACAUAAACACACAUCCACACGUUGUUAAAUAAAUAAAAAAAAUAUGUUAACA